rnacentral:lncRNA from 1 species
UCCACCUUCAUCCUGAUCGUCUCCUAAAAGGUCGUAUCCUCCGAUCGUAGCUGAUCGUAACCAUUCAAGUUAACGUGUCAAUUUACACCGACUUCUUUCCGUCGGACGCCGGAGCAUGGCGGAUAAAUUCAGCACAGAUUAACCCGUGCUGGAAAGGAAGUCGGGCACAGACACAAAAUAAAACAUCCGGCUUCUUUUCAAAAUAAAACACUCCGUGUUUCAGGAGGAUCGUAUUUCACACCAUGCAAACGGGCGGAGACGAACAAGUGAAAGGUUUUUAGACGUCAUUUCACCCCGAUGACACCAUGGAUGAGGAGAUGCUGAUUCUAGAAGUCUAGAAGUAGAUUUCCUCCUCUGGAAGGACACAAUCUACUGCUUAUAUGUCUAUGUGUCUGUCUUUAGAGAGACAACUCGAUUGA